rfam:Homo sapiens chromosome 7, GRCh38 reference primary assembly.
GCCGGGUGUGGUGGUGCACUCCUGUAGUCCCAGCUACUCAGGAGGCUGAGGCAUGAGAAUUGCUUGAACCCGGGAAGCAGAGGUUGCAGUGAGCCAAGAUUGUGCCACUGCACUUCAGCCUGGGUAACAGAGUGAGACUCUGUCUCCC